rnacentral:misc_RNA from 1 species
AAAAAAAAUAUAUAUAAAAUAAAAAUCUAAGUAAAUUUGGAGCAGUUAGGAGGUUAGACUUCACUAUUAGUAUGAGAAAAAGGCGGUACAACACAGGCAAGUAGCGUCUAUCAUUCAUUGUAGGAUCAUAAAGAUCUCCUUCCCCACCAAGACGGCGACAUUGUCUUUCCACUUUAGCCAUCAAAAAACAAACAAGGUUUUGGAUGUUUUCAGAACUUCUCCCUUUUGCUUGAGGGAAUUUUCAUUUCAAUGGGAAAAAGGAAAAAUAUUCACAGUGGUAAAGCAGUAUAGCUUAGUAAAAACAAU